rnacentral:rRNA from 1 species
GACGAACGCUGGCGGCGUGCCUAAUACAUGCAAGUCGAGCGGACUAAUGGGAGCUUGCUCCCAUUAGUUAGCGGCGGACGGGUGAGUAACACGUGGGCAACCUACCUGUAAGACUGGGAUAACUUCGGGAAACCGGAGCUAAUACCGGAUGACAUAAAGGAACUCCUGUUCCUUUAUUGAAAGAUGGCUUCGGCUAUCACUUACAGAUGGGCCCGGGGCGCAUUAGCUAGUUGGUGAGGUAACGGCUCACCAAGGCGACGAUGCGUAGCCGACCUGGGAGGGUGAUCGGCCACACUGGGACUGAGACACGGCCCAGACUCCUACGGGAGGCAGCAGUAGGGAAUCUUCCGCAAUGGACGAAAGUCUGACGGAGCAACGCCGCGUGAGCGAUGAAGGCCUUCGGGUCGUAAAGCUCUGUUGUUAGGGAAGAAUAAGUGCUAGUUGAAUAAGUUGGCACCUUGACGGUACCUAACCAGAAAGCCACGGCUAACUACGUGCCAGCAGCCGCCGUAACAC